GAAAUGGAAAUUAGCAGUUCAACGAUAUUAUUGUGGUGAAGUGACUAAAUCUGUGGAUGGAUGGAAAUGAGGUCCUCUGUAAGGGCCGAAGUCUGCCAAUACAAAAACAUAAAGCCUUCUAACAGCUUGCGUGGGAGGCACAGUCUUCACAAAACAAGCAAAGCAAGCAGUUUCCUGAAAAAAAGGAAGGAAGGAGACGUGGGUCAGAGACCCCAUUCCACAGUGGGGCAUCGACAGAAGACAGCACGGCCUGAUUCCACUCUUUGGGAACACGUAAGAAUUAGACAGCAACUGUGGGAUUGGAGACUUCUUGUCUUGCCAUCCCUCACCCUGUUCCUGUGCCAGGUAAGAAUUUGACCACUGGGAAUAUACUCGUGAGUUUCCAGGCCCACAGCGUAGAAGGGAAUGGGAAUACGUGACUUGUGGAAAAAGGUCUGAAGGCAGAUUUUAAAAUGGGGGUGUCCAGAGCAAUAGGAAAGCUCUGACAACUCAGAGUCAACUUGGAAUUUGCCACCCGUAAAUUCUUACCUCUUUUUUUUUUCUGAAGACUGUUACUGCCUCUGCCUUUUAGUUUUUUAGAUAUUUAACUUAAAAUCACGAUAAAGUAGAUGUUUUCUGACUAUGUUAGUCCCUGUGGGCAGAUGACCCACGGCAAGAAUCAGAACUUCCAGUUCUGGAAGCUUCUGUUGGAGGGUUCAAGGCCAGGCUGGAUGUUCUGACUAUGUUAGUCCCUGUGGGCAGAUGACCCACGGCAAGAAUCAGAACUUCCAGUUCUGGAAGCUUCUGUUGGAGGGUUCAAGGCCAGGCUGGAUGGGGCUUGGAGCAACCUGGUCUGGUGGGAGGUGUCCCUGCCCAGGGCAGGGGGUUGGAACUCGAUGAUCUUUAAGGUCCCUUCCAACUCCAACCAUUCUAUCACUUUAUGAAUAAUCUAUCAACUCCAAGCAGAGCCACCACCUAACAAAGGGCAACAUAGAAUCACCCUGGCCUUGGACACCUCCAGAGGUGUCCUCAUAGAAGAGGUGGGGAGGAUGAGAGGACAACAGGCUCAAUACUUGCAGCAGCCACCCUAGAACUAGCACAUGAACUAACUCUGACCCUCCUACAUCUCCUUUUGUCUGAGAAAGACAAGUCUCAUGACUUUCUAGUCAUCACAGUGACUACUUUGCCCUUGUGGCCUACCACAAACUCUCAGGAUGCUGGAUGAACUCAGGCUGGUGGCAACGCUCUGAUCUGUCAGAUGUGGGAGAACUGGCAACAGCCACAAAAAUUUUUGGAUGUGGACAGGCACGAUCAAAGUCCUCUGCUGUGUCUUCACCAUGUUCCUCAUGAGACUGAGCGCCCAUACUCCCGCCAGUAGGUGGCCAAAUAAAGUUUUGGUGGACAACA
rnacentral:lncRNA from 1 species